rnacentral:rRNA from 1 species
AUUGAACGCUGGCGGCAUGCCUUACACAUGCAAGUCGAACGGUAACAGGUCUUCGGAUGCUGACGAGUGGCGAACGGGUGAGUAAUACAUCGGAACGUGCCUAGUAGUGGGGGAUAACUACUCGAAAGAGUGGCUAAUUCCGCAUGAGAUCUACGGAUGAAGGCAGGGGAUCGCAAGACCUUGUGCUACUAGAGCGGCCGAUGGCAGAUUAGGUAGUUGGUGGGAUAAAAGCUUACCAAGCCGACGAUCUGUAGAUGGUCUGAGAGGACGAUCAGCCACACUGGGACUGAGACACGGCCCAGACUCCUACGGGAGGCAGCAGUGGGGAAUUUUGGACAAUGGGCGCAAACCUGAUCCAGCAAUGCCGCGUGCAGGAUGAAGGCCUUCGGGUUGUAAACUGCUUUUGUACGGAACGAAAAGCCCUGGGUUAAUACCCUGGGGUCAUGACGGUACCGUAAGAAUAAGCACCGGCUAACUACGUGCCAGCCGCCGCGGUAA